CCUACGGGGGGCUGCAGUGGGGAAUAUUGCACAAUGGGCGCAAGCCUGAUGCAGCCAUGCCGCGUGUGUGAAGAAGGCCUUCGGGUUGUAAAGCACUUUCAGCGGGGAGGAAGGCGUUAAGGUUAAUAACCUUGGCGAUUGACGUUACCCGCAGAAGAAGCACCGGCUAACUCCGUGCCAGCAGCCGCGGUAAUACGGAGGGCGCAAGCGUUAAUCGGAAUUACUGGGCGUAAAGCGCACGCAGGCGGUCUGUCAAGUCGGAUGUGAAAUCCCCGGGCUCAACCUGGGAACUGCAUUCGAAACUGGCAGGCUAGAGUCUUGUAGAGGGGGGUAGAAUUCCAGGUGUAGCGGUGAAAUGCGUAGAGAUCUGGAGGAAUACCGGUGGCGAAGGCGGCCCCCUGGACAAAGACUGACGCUCAGGUGCGAAAGCGUGGGGAGCAAACAGGAUUAGAUACCCGUGUAGUC
rnacentral:rRNA from 1 species